rnacentral:tRNA from 1 species
AGAAACUUAGGAUAAUCAAACCACAAGCCUUCAAAGCUUGCAAUAGAAGUCAGACCCUUCUAGUUUCUG